GGGGAAUAUUGGACAAUGGGGGAAACCCUGAUCCAGCGACGCCGCGUGGGUGAAGAAGGCCUGCGGGUUGUAAAGCCCUUUCGGUGGGGAAGAAAAGCCUCGACCUAACACGUCGGGGUAUUGACGUAACCCACAAAAGAAGCACCGGCUAACUCUGUGCCAGCAGCCGCGGUAAUACAGAGGGUGCGAGCGUUAAUCGGAAUUACUGGGCGUAAAGCGCGCGUAGGCGGCUAUACAAGUCGAGUGUGAAAUCCCCGGGCUCAACCUGGGAACUGCAUUCGAGACUGUAUGGCUUGAGUAUGGGAGAGGGAGGCGGAAUUUCAGGUGUAGCGGUGAAAUGCGUAGAUAUCUGAAGGAACAUCAGUGGCGAAAGCGGCCUCCUGGACCAAUACUGACGCUCAUGUGCGAAAGCGUGGGGAGCAAAC
rnacentral:rRNA from 1 species